UACGAGAGGCCCAAACGUUAUUCGGAAUUACUGGGCUUAAAGAGUUCGUAGGCGGCGCGGAAAGUAGGGUGUGAAAGCCCUCGGCUUAACCGAGGAAUUGCGCUCUAAACUACCGUGCUUGAGGAACCUAGAGGUGAGCAGAACUGAUGGUGGAGCGGUGAAAUGCGUUGAUAUCGGGAGGAACACCAGUGGCGAAGGCGGUUGCCUGGAGCUUUGCUGACGCUGAGGCGCGAAAGCGUGGGGAGCGAACAGG
rnacentral:rRNA from 1 species